ACGGAAGGCAGCAGUGGGGAAUAUUGGACAAUGGGGGAAACCCUGAUCCAGCGACGCCGCGUGAGUGAAGAAGUAUUUCGGUAUGUAAAGCUCUAUCAGCAGGGAAGAUGAUGACGGUACCUGACUAAGAAGCCCCGGCUAACUACGUGCCAGCAGCCGCGGUAAUACGUAGGGGGCAAGCGUUAUCCGGAUUUACUGGGUGUAAAGGGAGCGUAGGCGGCUGUGCAAGUCAGAAGUGAAAGCCCGGGGCUUAACUCCGGGACUGCUUUUGAAACUGCAUGGCUUGAGUGCAGGAGAGGUAAGCGGAAUUCCUAGUGUAGCGGUGAAAUGCGUAGAUAUUAGGAGGAACACCAGUGGCGAAGGCGGCUUACUGGACUGUAACUGACGUUGAGGCUCGAAAGCGUGGGGAGCAAACAGGAUUAGAUACCCUGGUA
rnacentral:rRNA from 1 species